GCGAUUUCUCCGAACAUCCUCCUUGCUUCUCCCUCCACUCAGAUUCUGCUUUCCCUCAGGGGCAUUCUCUGGAAAGGGCGAGGCUCCCUCCACCCACUGGACCCGGGGAAUGCUGCCAGCUCCGGCCAGAGGAGGCAGGAUCUAUAAAAGACCAGCGCAACUGCCCCCGCUCCCAGCCUUCCCGUGCGCUCUCAACCAGCCAGCCUCCUGCCCUCCCGCGGCACCAGCGCCAUGCUCUGCAAGGUCCUGAUCCUCCUGGUCCUGUGCGCCGCGGCUGGGGCGUUCCCCUCGCUGCGCUCAGAAUUAACCAGUGACCUACUGGAAUUGAUCCCUGGUCUAGAGUUAACCACCUAUGGAGAGGUACCUGGGGAUCAAGAGCAGACCACAUACCCAGUCCAGACCACAUACCCAGAGUCGACCUCAGACAUGAACCUGGAUGUCAUGAAUAUUUCCAAAUUCUAUGUUGACCUUGAAACAGCCACUGCCAUCUACUACGCAGAAGAAGCCAGUGAGGCCCCAGAUGAUUAUAACACAUUUCAGACAAUGAGCUUUGUGGGUGAAGAUUUUGACCAGAACAGCACUUUUCCAGAAAACAAUGAGUACACUUCAGUGUAUCUUUAAAAUGAAGCAAGGUCUCCUUUUGCUGUGACAGUCACUCUGCUAUUCAACGCUGUCUGAGAAGACUUGAACUUUUGAAUCAGUCAACUACUACACUUAUUAGAUGUUGCUUGAUUGUAGAAAGCUAGUGAAACAUGGCACAUGCCCAGCUGAGGAGAAAUGGCAAGCACUGGUCUGGGGUGGGUGUUGUGAAUUUUACAGACAGAAGAGGGGCAUUUCUUAGCUCUGUCCUACUUAAUACAGAUUUAAUAAAUUUCCAUUAGAAUUGAAU
rnacentral:lncRNA from 1 species